ACAGAGGUUGGUCAGCAAAGUCAGGCUGCUGGCCCACUCCGAACUCUCAAUAGUUGAAGUCAUGGCGAUCGCAAUAAAGAGGUGUGUGCAACCUCUUCAAUCCAGAGGUGUGUGAACCAGCUGAUCUGCCAAGAUCAUGGUAGCACCUAUGGCGAGUGCGGCGCGGAGCUCGCUCAAGGUCGAUGCGCCCCAUGGUGGUGGCAUUCGAGGCGGGUCGGCCCGAGCUGGGUCGAUCUGACCGCCGCCGCCAGCCAUGUUUCUUGAUACCGCGGACGACCUCAACCACAACAAGCAGGAUAGCUGCGAUGAAUUGUGGACGGGCGCAGCAGCGUCCUAUGGGCGGGCGCCGCCGACGUUCUUCGCCUCGUGGACGUGCUUCGUGUGGGUACCGACAAGGACGUCUACAUCUCCCUCUCCAGGGCUUCUAUCGAUGCUACUAGGACGCCGACAUCACCGCUGGAUGCGCCACAUCUAGCCUUCCCCUACUUGCUAGCCAAUGGACUGGUGCUCUCCUAGACGAGCUACGGUGGCCGCCCACAGGAUGUUCGACGAAAUUCCCGUCAAGGAUGGCAUCACUUGGGCGACCAUAGACUCCAAUGGAGGUUUGCACAGCGAAGCAGUAAGGCUUUUGACCUGCAUGUGUCAGGAAUGACAGGGACUCGCUGGUGUUCUGCUCGGCCAUGCCAUUGUCCCUGUUCUUGGCUGAGCAAACCAAGGAACUUUAGUGAGCUGUUGCAGGCAGAGGAAGUUGCUGCUGCUGGCAGAGAAAGAUUAGGAUUAGUCUAGCAUGAUUAUCAUAGUUUCCUUGAUUUGUUUUGGUCUAGAUUAGUACAUCAAUGCACUGAAAUUUCUUUUGUGGUGCAGGAGCUUCAAGAUAACAAGGACAACAGGCUUCGCGGCAACUCAUUCGUCUACGAUGUCCUCACCAAAUCGGAAAUUAUUUGGCUCCUAAAUCCUAAUCCAUGUGAGCAAGCCGCCACUUCCUCUUCCCCCACCAAUGUCCGCUUCCAAAUCAGGCUGAAAGUCCAGGUCACUCCCCUAAUAUUAGGUUGUUAUAGUUCCUUUAUUUGCAUUGAAGCGAGGUAGUGAAACAUGCUAACUCUUGCAGAGAAGAUAAAGUUAUUGCCUAGUACCAAGGACGGGUGUGCACUCCUUUACUGCUGUUUUUUCCAUUUGAGUGGCAACACUAGGCUUAUGGCUGAUCGUCAUGCUCUAGCCGAGGAACGAAUGGAGUUACCAAGAAAUAAAGGAGGAACUCCAUCACCUGAACAUGAUCAUUGCAACGAUUAAUGACAAGAAUGGAGCUUAUAUCACUAUAUCAGCGAGCUUGUUGACAAGAGAAGGAAGGUUGAAGCUGACCUUAGAUCAAAUGAGCCUUUGAGAGAUGAGGUUGUGCAUCUUUGUGCUGAAAUUGAGAAUCUCCUUGCUGUUAGGAAAGAACCCUCUACAAAGGCUGCAUCAUUCAUCAAUGAGAUUACUAGGGAGAGAUCAAAUAGAUAACAAGAACUUACACAUGCAAGGUACACACCACGACACACGGUCUCUUUUGCUGGACCAGACUCUCAAGUAUCCCAGUAAAUCGGUUGCGGAAUGGAAACUUUGAUUAUCAUUGGUUUGUAUUUCGCAAGAAUGUGCAUGUAAAUUAUAGCAUGCAGAACUGGAAUUUCGAGUUGGUGGAACAAGGUAAAGUAAUGUAAAAGAGUAGGACUUUGACGGCGCAAGAAAUUCAACAACUGCGGGCCAAAUUAGCUCAUUUUGAUGGCAGGCUAGGGGGCACAAGUAUGCUAUUGGGAUCAACUAUAGCGUUUGUAAAUUCAGUUAUCAUUUCUACAUGUAUUUUCCUUUCUUUACUGUAAUAUCUUGUCUGGAUUUGACGUUGUACAUGCACAAUAUGGUGCGGUUUCAGCAAUCCUGAUUUAGGAAUCUGGUAUGUCUCAACACUUUACAUGGGUCUCUAUGAAACAAGACAGAUUAUUUGGUUUGUUACCGCUAAUGGACAUGCCCACUGCUCUUAGCCUAAUACAAUAUUGAUGCAUCUAAUAUUGGUAGGUGAAGUUGGCAGAUGACAACACACAUGUCAAUGGAUAAGCAAUAGGCAUUCAUCAUCCAUCCAGGCGAGGCUUGACGGUUCGGAGGUGACCAUCGUUAUCGACUACCCUCGCCUUUACCCAUCGGAGUACCAUGGAGACUUCACAGUCUUCCAAGAGGAGGAGUACGCGGCAAACGGUGGGAAAAACGCCCAAUUAGCCAAAUGCCCACUAAUUCGGUGCCGAACUCGCCAGUUAGGACGCAAGCAAAUGUCGUGCUAGUUUCGACUCCUCAAGAGGAUUUAGAUGACGUGUCGGUCACGAAUUCCGAAGUGGAGAGCGUGAUGAAUCGCCAUCGCUUGAAGGAAGCUAUGCGUGCUCCGGCAUUGUCCGAACAAUAAUUCACCACACUGAUUUCGACGGAUGCUUAUGUCCGAGCCGCUCAAGACGGCCUUGCCGGAGUUAUACAACUGUUCUUAACGAAAUAUAGGUAAAUUUUGACACACUUGCGUGGUCGAUUGCUAGUAGCCCCCGAGACUUGAAGCAGUUAGCCCAACUGAUUUAAGGGUCGUUAUAUCAUCAAGUACUCACGGAGAAAAAUAACACAUUGUCGAAGGAGCUUGAAGAAUGUCGGACCAAGCUAACUGUUGUUACCGCCGAAUUGGAAAAUUUGAAGAAUUCCAAGAAGGCACCUGAUGCGGCAAGAUCGACAGAACAGUUGGAGGAGAGGCUAAAGGCUGCUCAGGCGGACAAGCAACAUGCCGAAGGGCAAGGUGCUGCUGGUCAAUGUAUAUUAACACCGACUAUUGAUGAGAAGAACAAAUUACAAGAUGCAAACAUCAAGCAAGCCAAAGAGCUAAAGGACAUACGAGCCCAACUAUCAGAUGCCUUGAAGGAGAACAAGAAACUAAUAACGCGGCAUAUUUAGCGGCCUGAAGGAGAAGUGUCCGGAUUUCAAGGCGACUUGCUGCAAGAGCUAUCCCAAGUGCACGAACGCGCUUGGAAAGCCAUGAGGAACUUGGCUAAGGCUUUGUGGCAAUCUGAUUCUUCUCCAGAAAUUAUGGAGGAGCUUGUGAAUUUAAGGGAGCGUGACGCCGCUUUGAACUAUGGAAGGCAUCAGCAUGUUGAGAAGCUGCACGAGAAUCCUAGGCCAUGGUGAAAAUGUGGUAUAUCGGACUUGAUCCGAAUCAUAUGGCCCGGGUCGGACCUUGGGGAUCAGACGGACAAGAAAUUCCGGUUAGCUUGGUUUACGACCAAGUAAAGACAGCCGCCAAAUUUUCCCAACAUGACUAUAAACUAGACAGCCUUAUAGAUGGUAUAGAUAAAGAGUAGGCAUUUGAUUCCAUGUAACAAUGCACUUUAUCACCAAACUUAUCUUCGACCGAACUUGGAAACAUUGGCAUCGAAGACCUUCUGCUUCAACCUCCAAAACCCAAGGUUUGGAGUGUUUCUGAAUACUAUGCCUGUGGUAAAUACCAAGUAUGUUCGGAAACCAGGCAAUCCGGUCAUGGUGCUUCCACAGACAAACUGUAUUCGAGGAGUUAUGUUAUAUUAUUUUUUAACGUAAGAAACAUCUUCCAGAGAGAAUAAUUCCGUUAAGGGUUCUUCUCCCUGGGCCAUCAUGUGUUAUUUAUGCAUGCCUAAGC